rnacentral:rRNA from 1 species
GAUGAACGCUGGCGGCGUGCCUAAUACAUGCAAGUCGAGCGAACAGACGAGGAGCUUGCUCCUCUGACGUUAGCGGCGGACGGGUGAGUAACACGUGGAUAACCUACCUAUAAGACUGGGAUAACUUCGGGAAACCGGAGCUAAUACCAGAUAAUAUAUUGAACCGCAUGGUUCAAUAGUGAAAGACGGUUUUGCUGUCACUUAUAGAUGGAUCCGCGCCGCAUUAGCUAGUUGGUAAGGUAACGGCUUACCAAGGCAACGAUGCGUAGCCGACCUGAGAGGGUGAUCGGCCACACUGGAACUGAGACACGGUCCAGACUCCUACGGGAGGCAGCAGUAGGGAAUCUUCCGCAAAGGGCGAAAGCUUGACGGAGCAACGCCGCGUGAGUGAUGAAGGUCUUCGGAUCGUAAAACUCUGUUAUUAGGGAAGAACAAAUGUGUAAGUAACUAUGCACGUCUUGACGGUACCUAAUCAGAAAGCCACGGCUAACUACGUG